CCUACGGGUGGCAGCAGUGGGGAAUAUUGCACAAUGGGGGAAACCCUGAUGCAGCAACGCCGCGUGAGUGAAGAAGUAUUUCGGUAUGUAAAGCUCUAUCAGCAGGGAAGAAGAUGACGGUACCUGAGUAAGAAUCCCCGGCUAAAUACGUGCCAGCACCCGCGGGAAUACGUAGGGGGCAACCGUUAUCCGGAUUUACUGGGGGUAAAGGGGGCGUAGUCGGUUAGACAAGUCCGAAGGGAAAGCCCGGGGCUCAACCCCGGGACUGCUUUGGAAACUGCCUGACUGGAGUGCUGGAGAGGCAAGCGGAAUGCCUAGUGUAGCGGUGAAAUGCGUAGAUAUUAGGAAGAACACCAGUGGCGAAGGCGGCUUGCUGGACAGUCACUGACGUUGAGGCUCGAAAGCGUGGGGAGCAAACAGGAUUAGAUACCCCAGUAGUC
rnacentral:rRNA from 1 species